rnacentral:rRNA from 1 species
UGGGGAAUAUUGGACAAUGGGCGCAAGCCUGAUCCAGCAAUGCCGCGUGUGUGAAGAAGGCCUUCGGGUUGUAAAGCACUUUUAUCAGGAGCGAAACGCUGUCGGCUAAUACCCGGCGGAACUGACGGUACCUGAGGAAUAAGCACCGGCUAACUUCGUGCCAGCAGCCGCGGUAAUACGAAGGGUGCAAGCGUUAAUCGGAAUUACUGGGCGUAAAGCGUGCGUAGGCGGUUUCUUAAGUCUGCUGUGAAAUCCCCGGGCUCAACCUGGGAAUGGCAGUGGAUACUGGGAGGCUAGAGUGUGUCAGAGGGUGGUGGAAUUCCCGGUGUAGCGGUGAAAUGCGUAGAGAUCGGGAGGAACAUCAGUGGCGAAGGCGGCCACCUGGGGCAACACUGACGCUGAGGCACGAAAGCGUGGGGAGCAAACAGGAUUAGAUACCCUGGUAGUCCACGCCCUAAACGAUGCGAACUGGAUGUUGGUCUCAACUCGGAGAUCAGUGUCGAAGCUAACGCGUUAAGUUCGCCGCCUGGGGAGUACGGUCGCAAGACUGGAAACUCAAAUGAAUUGACGGGGUCAUAGCUGUUUCC